rnacentral:rRNA from 1 species
UACGUAGGGUGCAAGCGUUAAUCGGAAUUACUGGGUGUAAAGCGUGCGCAGGCGGUUUUGUAAGUCUGUCGUGAAAUUCCCGGGCUCAACCUGGGAAUUGCGAUGGAGACUGCAAGGCUAGAAUCUGGCAGAGGGGGGUAGAAUUCCACGUGUAGCAGUGAAAUGCGUAGAGAUGUGGAGGAACACCGAUGGCGAAGGCAGCCCCCUGGGUCAAGAUUGACGCUCAUGCACGAAAGCGUGGGGAGCAAACAGG